AUGGUCAAGAGGAAAAACUCUUAUGUUUAUUAGCCAUGAAUUUCACAUGGUGAAAAAAAUCACUUGUACAAAAUAAUGUUAACCGCCGUGGUUGAGCCAGAACACAUGAGCCAUGAAAGAAAAGAAAACAGAAAUCAAAAGAAAACACCAGAACACUGAGCAGAACAUACUCACAUCGACAGUGUUUUCAGAGAUGCAUUCUAUGUGCUUUUUUUCAUAUUUCACAUACAUUUACUGCAAAGUUUACACUGAGAGCUUAGUACAGAGAUGAGCGCACGUGUGUGUGUGUGUGUGUGUGUGUGCAUGUGUGAGUGUGUGAGUGUGUGUGUGUACGCAUGUGUCUGGGUAGGUGGGUGUGUGUGUGUGUGUGUGUGUGUGUGUGUGUGUGUGUGUGUGUGUGGAGGGCACAUUCUCAAAUCAGUGGUGGCCCAAUAGCAGGUGCCCUUCCCACUUCAAAAAACAAAACCAGACAAAAGAGGGAGCAAGCCAGACCUCCCCCAAAAAGGAAAGAGAAUGAAAAGCAGAACACUCGACAAUUACAAGUGAAAUGGUUGCAGUGCAUUCAUUGUUGACUGUUGCUGUGGCAACCCCACUCUAGCCAGGGAGAAUAGGGGAGGGGAGGGGGAGCCCUGCUAUCUGAUUGGCCACGAGGUGUACCAUGAAAAGGGCUCUUUGCUUUAAUAGAGGUCCAGAUCACAAGAGCUGACCUGACCCCCAGUGAGCCAAAAAGCACUGUGGAAUUCCCUGAAUCCGCUGCCAGAGGGGAGGGGGACCAGUGGAGCUUGGGGUGGGGGUUGUAGAGGGCUUGGGGGUGAUGUGGGGCAGAGUGGGGUAUUUGGUGGUAGGGGCUUGAGCGGGAUCUAAGAACACUCCAAGAAUGCAAAAGGGUGAGGCGGGCUCUAAGAAAGAAGCUGAGCUGAAACAGAGGCCAAAAGAAGACAGGGGGUUGUGUGGGGUGGGGUAGUGAGAUAUGAGACUUUUUUGGGGGGGAGGGUUGUCUUUGCGGGUUAGCAUCCCCCAAUACAGCACAGCAGUCAUGCAUUGUUGCUAAAGCAUCUGAAGAAACACCAGUGGGUGGGGAACACAUGGGCUCGGGCCCAUCCCUGUGAGUGUGGGAGCGGGUUAAGCGAACGCGGAGAGCAGAGCGGAGCAGCGUCCAAACCACAUGAGAGCAGCGCGGGCCUCACAAACACUCCUGCACCCCACGCCCCACUGGCUUCCCAGGCAAAACACUCAUCCCUAUCACUUACAUCAGUUACAGAUGUGCUCGCUCCGCAAGAAUGCCUGCUUCCACACCCCCCCACCUCCCCAAAGCAGCUGUAUCUGUAUGGGACUGGGCCGUGAUCUGGCUCCAGGAAGUACGCAUACACGCAUAAGCAUACACGCAUGGUAAGCAGCCAUUUGGGAAACCACAACAGAGAGCCACAGCUGGUGUAUGUUUUUUUUUUUUUUUGGUGAUUCAUGUGCGUCUUUUGGGCUUUCUGCUGCUCGUGGGUCUCUGUUGGUAGCGUAGCACAACUCAGAAUAAAAAAAAAGCACUAUGGUGACUCUCUCGCCUCGCACUCUUCCAGUUUCAGGCCUCUGGGACUCCGCUAGCUCCUCCGGCCUCCUGGCCUGAGCCAGUCCACGACUGAAGAAGAGGCUGUACCAGGGCCCGCCAUGGCAAAACAAGGACAAAUCAUCCUAAUAUUCAUUCCUCCUCUUCCUCAGCCAGCCACUGCUGUAACAUAGCCUGAGAGGUGUCAGACUUAGCGCUCCUUCCCCUCAACACACACACUCACACACACCAGAGUGGUAGUGACAGUUAGGCGUUGCCACAGUGACAGUUAUAGCUGUCAACAUGGUAUUCCAACAAUGCCUCUGCAAGGUCUCGCAGGUGUUCGCCGAGUAGAGUGGAAUGUCAUGCUGACAGUGACACACAAUAUUGUGUGUGUGUGCGUGUGAGGGAGAGAGAGCGAGAGAGAAAAGAGAUUUUCGGUUGGUCUGUGUGAGUGAUUUAAUUUAAGCGAGAAUGUGUGUGUGUGUGUGUGUGUGUGUGAGUGUGUGAGAGAGAGAGAGACUGAGUUUGUGUGUGAGGGUUUCAGUUCAGAUCAGAUGCCAGGGUUUGCUGUGGGGGAAGCAGGCUGAUGUGUGCUGAGGAGUCUAAAGCAGUUAACUAACUCUAGAACAGGCCUGGGCCUCUCUCUCCAGUCAGAUGCUACUUAACCAGGAAGGCACUGCUGUGCAAACCACCGUCACUGUGCCAGUCCACUGGUGGUCAUAGCACUACCCCUGGUUGAGCUAAAUCUGGUCCUGGUUUUAGCCAGCUGACUGGCCCCCAAUGCACUCUGGGAUGCAAUCUGAUAUCCUGACAUCAUUCCCUCCACUGACCCUUGCACGUUGACCCUUCACCUGAAACCAGAGGGUGAUACAGGGUCGUAGAAUAAACGCCCCUACCGCCGACAAACUAAAGAUGUGCAGAGCAGCAGCUGAAGGAAGGAGAGGAGAGAAAGAGAGAGGGAGUGAGGUAAGAGAAGAGAUAUGAUCCAUGCAUGGUAACAAAGCAUCCAGAAACUCCAUAAAAGCAAACAACGCAAUAAAUAUAAAAAUACAGGUUUUACAGAUAAAUCAAAUGUGGACAAAAAUGAAAAAAAUAAUUUUCUGAUAAAUUAAGACACAAAGAUGCAUCUUGAGAUGACUCUGCUGUUUUUCUUCGUUUUUUUUUUCCUGUUCAGAUCUUUUUUCUUUUCUUUUCUUAUUGUUUUUCAAUAGUCUUUCUUCCAUAUAGUUUUCAUGGAGACUUUCAUGGUAAUCUUGCAGUCAGUCAGUGUUGUCAUCAGCAAUGGUGCUUUUACGAGCCAUGACCAUAUGGGCUCAGAAUAGUUCUGUACCGGCGUGGGCAACACACACGCACACACACACACACACACACACACACACACCCCAUAAAUAUCCUGCAGAUGUAUGAACAAGCUGCUGUAUCCAACGACAAGCUUAAGAACAAAAGACUGAAGCCACUCAGGAACCUCUGCCACUGAUGGCUGUAACUGCUUGUUGUUGUUGUUGUUGUUGUUGUUGUUGUUGUUGUUACUGUUGAGCCAUUACUGCAGUAUAGGGCUGACAGCAGUCCCCAUAGUCCAUGGAAGGGUAGUUGUCUUAGAGGUGAUACGCGUGUGUGUGUGUGUGUUUGAGAUAGAGAGAUAGCGAGAAAUAGAAAGAGAGAGAGAGGGAUAGGGGUUAGGAAGGUUGUCAGCUGCAUCCUCCAUCAGAUAGACAAGCCAGGGCAUGACAAUCCACAUGCUCAUCAUUUCAUUCAAACACACACACACAAUCAUCCAACUCAUCCAAUCCUUAACACACACACACCUUGGACCCAACCAGUGCAACAUAAGGUGUCAGGGUGUCCAACUUUUCUCUCUAAAUGAGCAGAGUCUAGCCAACAUGAGCAUGCAGACACCAUCUGCUGUGUGUGUGUGUGUGUGAGAGAGAGUGUGUGUGUGUGUGUGUGAGGGUGGCAGUGUGUUUGUCUUUUCCCCAAUGCCAGCAAUGUGAGUGUUUGAAAGAGAGAGAGAGAGAGAGACUGUAACAUACCAGCCUUACACACACACACACACACACACACACACACACACACACACACACACACACACACCUCACAAAUAUUGUGAAAGAAAGUGCAGCAAGAUGACAGGCAGCUUAGAGAGAAACACACUGGGGAUGGCGGGCGGGGGUGGGGUCUGACAGUUAGAGAGAGAGAGCAAGAGAUUUCUGUUCUUUCUCCAUUAUGUGUACAUCUGAACUCAACAUGCUAAAUUAGUCUUCCUCGCCUCCUCCUCUUCCUCCUCCAACGAAGCUUCAAGACAAAGUCUCCACAAACAGAAGAAUCAUCCUUCAUGCAAUAUACACUGUCCAGGUCUCUCAAAAGGAGGUCUGUGCAGUAUUCUCCUGUUCUGCAUAUGCGUAUAGUACACUGGAAGAUGACUGGUCACUUAGCAACGAGCAGCCAAUGGUUUGUUUUCAUCGAAACCCCUCCUGUGAUAACAGGAUGUGACAUCACUCAGUACAGAAGUCCUUUCAGGAAACAGAAAUCCACUCAUGUCUUAAGGGGAUCGGGGGGCGUUUACGUCACACAAAGCGCUUGGUUGUCAGUUUAACACUGUGCAGAGCAGGGGUUUGGCAUUUGCAGAUGGGAAGUCUCUCUUGGGGGGUUUUGCAGGGGAGGGUUAGAGUGUGCUUCUUCACAGUCAAAACAGAUCCGGGAGAUGAUGAAAUCAAAAGAAGAGGAAGAGGAAGUCUGUGGAGAGAAGAGGCACAAACAAACGUUAGACAGGAAAGACAUUAAACAAACUCCAAUAUCUACGAUAAAUACCACACUACAACAACAGACCAACAGUUCUUGAGAAAAAUAUGGUUCCAAUGGCAAACCAUGUAGCUCCUAAACAAAUACACACAGAACCAGUUCACUCUCAAAUGCAAAUACAUUUACAUUUACACACACACAGACACACACAGACACACACAGACACACACACACAGAGACAGACACACACAGAGAAACACACACACACACACACACACACACACACACACACAGAGAGA
ensembl:lncRNA